rfam:Gossypium raimondii Chr01_contig_138, whole genome shotgun sequence.
UAUUUAAAGUUUCAUCUAUUUCUACAGUUAAAAAUUAGUGUAGAUGAAAAAAUAACGAGACAAUUAUACGUGACAUGCCAUGUGUACCUCAUGUUAAUGUACAAUGACCAGAUUUUAACAGUAGAAGUAGAUGGAUUUUUCAACA